CGCUGACACUCCCUGGACCUCCCAAGUCCUGGAAUCAGAAAACUAACAUGGCCCUCCCUGGAGGCUGGCGACGGCCCAUAUGCAGCUUAUAAUGUGACCAAAGAAACCUGCAGUAAAGAAACAACACUGAUGCAUUCUCUACUCUCUGCACUGGAGGAGGAUUCUGGAGGCGGCAGGAAAUAACGUUUGAUUUGUUCACAGGCUGCCAGACCAUGAGGAACCACAUCCAAGCUUGAUGGGAAGGACUGUGCAUUACCCAGAGAUCGAGAACUUUCAGGUGGUACAUUAAUGGAUGGGUUUUGCUUGUCUCGCUUGGGAUGAAGAGAGAGUGUUUUACCUGUUGGAAACAGGGUGUUCAAUGAUAUCUGGUGGCCAGAGGGACCGGACCGACUGUGCCCGGAAUGUUAGCUGUCUAUGAAGACCCAUUCUUCCAUGUUCGAAGAAUAGCUAGGUCUUUGACUGCUCAAACCCCUGUGGGCUGUGAAGUCACCAUGUGACUAAAUUCCUGCCAGUGGGAUCUUCCUGGCCUGGCGCACACAGCUCUCAAACACUCAUUUCCCAUGGGCUGAGAUGGUGAUGAGCAGAAGAAAGAAGCUAUGCUGAGCAUGGCCUGGCUCUCAUGAACCUCUCCUCCUCCGAUGAUAUGGGACCGUCACCCUGGACUCU